ensembl:snRNA U4 U4 spliceosomal RNA
AGCUUUGCGCAGUAGCAGUAUCGUAGCCAAUGACGUUUAUCCGAGGCGCGAUUAUUGCUAUUUGAAAACUUUUCCCAAUGAAUAUUUGUAUUUCAGUUAAAGGCACAUUGUUAGUUUUACAGAAAA